UACGUAGGGUGCAAGCGUUGUCCGGAAUUAUUGGGCGUAAAGAGCUCGUAGGCGGUCUGUCGCGUCGAAUGUGAAAACCCGGGGCUCAACCCCGGGCCUGCAGCCGAUACGGGCAGGCUAGAGUUCGGUAGGGGAGACUGGAAUUCCUGGUGUAGCGGUGAAAUGCGCAGAUAUCAGGAGGAACACCGGUGGCGAAGGCGGGUCUCUGGGCCGAUACUGACGCUGGAGGAGCGAAAGCGUGGGGAGCGAACAGG
rnacentral:rRNA from 1 species